rnacentral:rRNA from 1 species
GAGUUUGAUCCUGGCUCAGGAUGAACGCCUUCGGCAGGCUUAACACAUGCAAGUCGAGGGGCAGCGAGAUCAGUGCUUGCACUGAUUGUCGGCGACCGGCGCACGGGUGCGUAACGCGUAUGCAACCUACCCAUUACAGGGGGAUAACACUGAGAAAUCGGUACUAAUACCCCAUAACAUCCAGGGAGGCAUCUUCUUGGGUUGAAAACUCCGGUGGUAAUGGAUGGGCAUGCGUUGUAUUAGUUAGUUGGUGGGGUAACGGCUCACCAAGACAACGAUACAUAGGGGGACUGAGAGGUUAACCCCCCACAUUGGUACUGAGACACGGACCAAACUCCUACGGGAGGCAGCAGUGAGGAAUAUUGGUCAAUGGACGCAAGUCUGAACCAGCCAUGCCGCGUGCAGGAAGACGGCUCUAUGAGUUGUAAACUGCUUUUGUACGAGGGUAAACGCAGAUACGCGUAUCUGUCUGAAAGUAUCGUACGAAUAAGGAUCGGCUAACUCCGUGCCAGCAGCCGCGGUAAUACGGAGGAUUCAAGCGUUAUCCGGAUUUAUUGGGUUUAAAGGGUGCGUAGGCGGUCGGAUAAGUUAGAGGUGAAAUCCCGGGGCUCAACUUCGGAAUUGCCUCUGAUACUGUUCGGCUAGAGAGUAGUUGCGGUAGGCGGAAUGUAUGGUGUAGCGGUGAAAUGCUUAGAGAUCAUACAGAACACCGAUUGCGAAGGCAGCUUACCAAGCUACUUCUGACGUUGAGGCACGAAAGCGUGGGGAGCAAACAGGAUUAGAUACCCUGGUAGUCCACGCAGUAAAC